GUGAACGCUGGCGGUAGGCCUAACACAUGCAAGCCGAACGGCAGCACCGUAAGAGCUUGCUCUUACGGGUGGCGAGUGGCGGACGGGUGAGGAAUACAUCGGAAUCUACUUUUUCGUGGGGGAUAACGUAGGGAAACUUACGCUAAUACCGCAUACGACCUACGGGUGAAAGCAGGGGAUCUUCGGACCUUGCGCGAUUGAAUGAGCCGAUGUCGGAUUAGCUAGUUGGCGGGGUAAAGGCCCACCAAGGCGACGAUCCGUAGCUGGUCUGAGAGGAUGAUCAGCCACACUGGAACUGAGACACGGUCCAGACUCCUACGGGAGGCAGCAGUGGGGAAUAUUGGACAAUGGGCGCAAGCCUGAUCCAGCCAUACCGCGUGGGUGAAGAAGGCCUUCGGGUUGUAAAGCCCUUUUGUUGGGAAAGAAAAGCAGCAGGUUAAUACCCCGCUGUUCUGACGGUACCCAAAGAAUAAGCACCGGCUAACUUCGUG
rnacentral:rRNA from 1 species